GAGUUCCUCCGUGUUUCGGAAAAACGAUAAAUUGGUCAUUUAAACAUCAUUGGCACUCGUUACGCGUAGUUAGAAGCCAGACAUUCAAAUGAAUCAGAAUUGGGGUGGUAGAACCACAUUUCUGGCGUAUAGAAGUUUUAUUUCAAGAAUGCGGGUGAAGUAUACUAGUUUGUGUAAAGAAAUACGUACAUGCACAUUGUCUCCGACCUCGUCAAAAAUCAUCAAAUGACCCCU